AGCCCAGACGUGCAGAGGAGUGGACAGAAGGAGUUGAAUGACGCCCCUGGCUAUGACCAAAACUGCAAGCAACUGCACAAGUGUGCAACAGUCCGUAUCCACCGAUUCCAGUAAUGUCCCCUCCCUGGAAAAAAAACGAUCAAUGUAGUGCUGGUAGACGACAAUGAAUUAUCCAUCCACAACUGAAUGGAUGGGUCUAAGAUGCACCCUAUCACUGAGCCUGAUCAGCACUUCGCUGGAAAUCCCACAAUCCCUCCCAGCAAGAAACCACAGCCAUGAACUGCCUGCAUCUCUGGGAGCUGGAGACACUAAUCGCACAGUCUGAGAUAGAGAUGAUUCUCGUGCAGUUCUUGGGAAGGGUAAGGGGAAAGCAUGAACUUUAGUUUCUCCUUCAUAGGACAUUCCUGCACAUCAGCACUGUCAUAACAUAACAAGUUAGUGCUAGUGUCCUUGAUUUUGAAAUUCAGAGAGGGUUGGCACAUGGCAUUUUCCAUGAUGAUAUUUCCUCUUAAAAUGUAAGAGAGGGGCUUUGUCCUUCUGUCAUUCAACCCAUCUGUAAUGCAAUGUAACAUGCAAGCACAUUUUCUCCUGCCUAUCCUACGGUCAUAUUAUAUUUAAAAUAAAUUGCUGACAUAUUACCUUUUCAAAGUCCACAAUCAAAACCGAGCACAGAAGAAAGGAUGGAAAGUAUCCAAGUUGAAGCCCAUGUCAGUCUUUAAGUCCUUGUAUUACCAUGUGAAUUUAAAACACUUGAUUUUGCCAGGGGAUACUAUUUCCAUUGGGGAUUUAUACUUGGCAGGUAUGGGGUUCUUUAAAGAUUCAUAUUCAGAUCUGACAUACUGAAUUGAACCUGUGGACCAAAUAGGAAUGAUUUUAAAGAUACAGCAAUUCUGUGAGAAGCAUGUACUCUUCCACCGCUUCAGACUGGGCAAAGUCAAUGUAUGAUGACAGCACAGAGGCUUAUUAAGACAGACAUAGAGGCAAGGGUAUUCAUCUAGGAUGGCUUACAAGCGGUGGGAAUGGUUAUUGGCUGUGAUCAUGUGUGAUCCCUUAUGUCCUUCCCCGGAAUGAGUUUCCAUAUAACUUCAGUAUUAUCUUCUGAAGCUCCCAGGUGGGCUCUACUAUGGGCUGAAGGAUUUUAAGUACAUGCCUUUUUCUGUCGAUGCUAAAUCCCAAGGGGUUUUCUCUGGUGAUGAGUUUGAGUGUCACACUUCAGCGAGAGUGAUGCUUUCCCUUGGAAUAGCAACAGAGGCCAAAACCCAAAAAAUAUCCAUCUUUUCACAGAAUGUUGUAAACAAAACCAAGCUCAAAACAUGUAUUAUAUUCCCGCAGUUGACAUAUGGGACUGAAAUACAUACAAUAGAACACAU